rnacentral:rRNA from 1 species
GUGGGGAAUAUUGGGCAAUGGGCGCAAGCCUGACCCAGCAACGCCGCGUGAAGGAAGAAGGCUUUCGGGUUGUAAACUUCUUUUACCAGGGACGAAACAAAUGACGGUACCUGGUGAAUAAGCCACGGCUAACUACGUGCCAGCAGCCGCGGUAAUACGUAGGUGGCGAGCGUUAUCCGGAUUUAUUGGGUGUAAAGGGCGGGUAGGCGGGACAGCAAGUCAGAUGUGAAAACCAGAGGCUCAACCUCUGGCCUGCAUUUGAAACUGUUGUUCUUGAGUGUCGGCGAGGUAAUCGGAAUUCCGUGUGUAGCGGUGAAAUGCGUAGAUAUACGGAGGAACACCAGUGGCGAAGGCGGAUUACUGGACGAUAACUGACGCUGAGGCGCGAAAGCGUGGGGAGCAAACAGGAUUAGAAACCCCUGUAGUCC